rnacentral:rRNA from 1 species
UACGAAGGGUGCAAGCGUUACUCGGAAUUACUGGGCGUAAAGCGUGCGUAGGUGGCUCGUUAAGUCUGAUGUGAAAGCCCCGGGCUCAACCUGGGAACUGCAUUGGAUACUGGCGAUCUGGAGUGCGGUAGAGGGUGGCGGAAUUCCCGGUGUAGCGGUGAAAUGCGUAGAUAUCGGGAGGAACAUCCGUGGCGAAGGCGGCCACCUGGACCAGCACUGACACUGAGGCACGAAAGCGUGGGGAGCAAACAGG